AGUGAACGCUGGCGGUAUGCCUAACACAUGCAAGUCGAACGGCAGCACAGUAAGAGUUUGCUCUUACGGGUGGCGAGUGGCGGACGGGUGACGAAUACAUCGCCAUCUACUUUUUCUUGGGUGAUUACGUAGGGAAACUUAUGCUAAUACCUCAUACUACCUACGGGUGAAUGCAGAGGAUCUUCGGACCUUGCGCGAUUGAAUGAGCCGAUGUCGGAUUAGCUAGUUGGCUGGGUAAAGGCCCACCAAGGCGACGAACCGUAGCUGGUCUGAGAGGGUGAUCAGCCACACUGGAACUGAGACACGGUCCAGACUCCUACGGGAGGCAGCAGUAGGGAAUAUUGGACAAUGGGCGCAGGCCUGAUCCAGCAAUACCGCGUGGGUGAAGAAGGCCUUCGGGUUGUAAAACCCUUUUGUUGGGAAAGAAAAGCAGCAGAUUAAUACGCGGCUGUUCUGACGGUACCCAAAGAAUAAGCACCGGCUAACUUCGUG
rnacentral:rRNA from 1 species